GCGGCCGUGACCCUGCUGGAGUGUGGGGGGGACCUCCAGCCCCCCGGAGGGUCCCUGGCUCUGCUCUGCCGCGAGUCUGGGUUCACGUUUGGGAGUUUCGGAAUGAGCUGGGUCCGACAGAGCCCCGGGAAGGCGCUGGAUUUCGUUGCGAGUAUCCACAACGAUGGCAGCACCUGGUACACAGCAUCAGUCAAGGGCCAGUUCACGAUCUCCAGGGACAACAGGCAGAGCUCGGUGACGCUGACCAUGAACAACCUCAAGGACGAGGAUUCCGCCGUUUAUUUCUGCGCCAAAUCUGCUGAUAGUGGCAGAGGCACUGCUGCUAAUUAUGUUGAUGUUUAA